rnacentral:rRNA from 1 species
CGAGACGACGCUGGCGGCGUGGAUUAGGCAUGCAAGUCGGACGGUAGGGCUUUAUCGUAAGAUAGAGUUUGAGAGUGGCGAACGGGUGAGUAACACGUAGGAAUCUACCCUUAAGACGGGGACAACCCAGGGAAACUUGGGCUAAUACCGGAUGUGAGCAACUUUUAGUUGUUUGAAAGGUGGCGUAAGCUGUCGCUUGGGGAUGAGCCUGCGUCCUAUUAGUUAGUUGGUGAGGUAACGGCUCACCUAGGCAAUGAUAGGUAGGCGGCCUUAACGGGUGGUCGCCCACACUGGGAUUGAGAUACGGCCCAGACUCCUACGGGAGGCAGCAGUCGAGAAUAGUCUACAAUGGUCGGAAGACUGAUAGUGCGACGCCGCGUGAACGAUGAAUCCCUUCGGGGUGUAAAGUUCUUUUAUACGUGAGCAGUGUCCUUUAUAUUAAUAGUAUAAGGGGAGAGAUAUUAGCGUAUGAAUAAGCAACGGCUAACUCCGUG